rnacentral:ncRNA from 1 species
AGGAGCCGUGUGCUGGGAAACUCGCAAGCACGGUUUCCAAUUGGAGUUGGGGAAGGUGACUUCUCUUUCGACCAUAAC